UACGUAGGGGGCAAGCGUUGUCCGGAAUCAUUGGGCGUAAAGCGCGCGUAGGCGGCUAGAUUAGUCCGCUGUGAAAGCCCGGGGCUCAACCCCGGGAGGCGGGCGGAUACUGUCGGGCUAGAGUCCGGAAGAGGCGAGUGGAAUUCCUGGUGUAGCGGUGAAAUGCGCAGAUAUCAGGAGGAACACCAAUUGCGAAGGCAGCACGCUGGGACGUUACUGACGCUGAGACGCGAAAGCGUGGGGAGCAAACAGG
rnacentral:rRNA from 1 species